UCCCUGGCAGUCCAGUGGCUAAGACUCUGUGCUCCUAAUGCAGGGGGCCUGAGUUCGAUCCCUGGUCAGGGAA
rnacentral:tRNA from 1 species